GCCCCGCCCGCCGGUUGUUUUCUCACCCUUCACCUGGAAACCCCGAGCAAGCCGGCCUCCCCGGCCUCCCCGGCUCCGACUCCCACCCCGGCCGCCCGCCGGGAGAUGCCGGGAGACGCUGCCCUCGGCGCGCUCCCCGCCGGGCCGGGCGCGGGGGAGAGGGCACGCGGCGUGUUGCCCGGGCCUGCAGAGGGAGGCGAGGGGCGGGAAGGCUGCGGCGAGUACAGGUCGGCCUGCUGGGAUUGGGAAGCCCCGCGCCUCUCCGCCCGUCCUGGCGUCUCUGGGUGGUUCGUAAGGGCCUGUCUCCUCCAGCACCUCAGAGCAGCCUCUUUCCACUUAAUUUAGUAAGCGUUUGUCAACAUUGCUUUUUGCAGAGCCCUAAACCGAAAGAGGUGUUGAAGCCAUUUUUCUGUCCUCAAAUUAUGAUCUGGGCAACAAAAUUUUUUGGCGCAGCCCAGGAAUAAAAAGCAAUGCCGUACACCCCUUUUUUAUUGGAGCCCUAUUGCUUCGAAAACCACUGCUACGAGUUUGCAGGAGAAAAAAAUGAAUGAUUAUGUCCGUCCUUCCAAGUACAUUAUAAUCUUGUAGGAAUGAUAAGUCUCUGGACUUUGGUAACUUUUUUAAACAAAUAAAAAGGAAACAACUCCACAGUAAUGUAUCUGCAAAAAAUACAAGGCUCCAGUAAUUUCAGUUCCUCAGAAACCAAAGUCACUUAAAAGAUGUUCCAAAUUAGACGUUGGGCUUUCUCAAUAAAAUCUAUUUGGAUUUCUUCUUUUCCUUCCCACUAACAUAUGUAUAAUAAAGGCUUUAAGUGGCCACUCAAACAAAUUCAUGGACUAAUUUCUUUUUAUAAAAUUAAUUAUUCCCCUAAAAUUAUUUCUGGUUUCACUUGGUAUAUAAAAAUUCAAACCUCAAAAGCAUAGCCUCUGAAGAACAAUAUAAAUAAAUAUGGUCAAGGAAAGACUUUCAAAAUAAACAUAAGUUUUCUAUGCAAUGUCAAAGCAAUUGUACUGUAGGAGAAGAGUACAACCCAUAAUGGCCACAAGCCAAGUUUGUUACUAUCACUGCAAAAAUAAAUUUUAAAUACACUUUGCUUCAUUUAAAUGUUGAAAUAUAAGCUUAAUUUGGUUUAUGAGGUUGAAUGAUACGACACUGCCAGUGUCCUAAUCAAACAUGAUUGUACAUUCGCUCUGUGGGAGACAGACACCAUGUUAUGAGGACUCUGGAAAAGCCCGCUGAGGCCAACAGCCAGCUCCACUGGCCAGUGUGUGAGAGGGCCACUUUGAAAGACAGUCCUCCAGCUCCAUGUCAGGUCUUCAGAUGACUGCAGCACUGACCAACAUCUUGAGUGUAGUCCUAUCAGCAACCUGGAGCUAGAACCCCGGAAAGCCACUCCCAGAUUCCUCACCACAGAAACUAGUUUUGAAAAAUUAGGCCUUAAGAAUUUGUCCAAGGUCACACUGCUCCUCAUAGGUGAAGAGAUCAAAAUCCUCAUUUAUCUGACU